ACCCACUCCUCACCCAGCAUCCAUAAAAGCAUGCUGCACCUUUGGCACAGCGCGACUUCCCUGGCCCUCCCCCUGCGGACCAGUGAACCUCGCCCGAGGGCUCAAUAAAGAAGAUUUUUGCCCUCUUUUUCUCACCUCUCAGCCUUAUUGAUCCAUGGUGCCCUUCCAUUGCCUUUCAUUGGUGCCGAAACCCGGGAGGGGACACCUCCUAAGCCCCCCCAGAGGCUCAGGGGGACUCCCCUCCUGGUCGGAUCAGUCCUCUCCCUCAGUCAGGUCAGGCUUCUCCUCCACGGCCAUCUGUCCAUUUCGUCCGGUUACUUGCUGCCAGGUCGCAGUUGCUGCAGCUACUCCAGUCCAAUUCGGCCGACGCUAGAGACAAAUGAAGACACUCGACCAUCUCUAAAUGCUACCAAACACAUAGAGUCUACUCUGAAUGCAGAUACUGCUCUCAUAAAAAUUCUGCAAAGGAGGAAGGGGUUGGUGCAGAACUGUUCCGAUGCUGAUCAACUGAGAUGCAAAACCCAUGUUCACAUCAUGAGUGAGUCUUCUAACUCGGACAAUGCAAUCAACAAAUUCUAAGACCAAAUUCCGGUGGCACUGGCUCCAAAGCUCCUGAGUGUGGAAGGAGGUGAACAGGGAAAAGCAGAGAGGACAAAAGUCACAUCCCCUCCCCACAGACCCAUACUGGGGAAGGGUGGAAGAUUUAGCUGCGAGUCAAGUUCAGAAUUUUGAUUAACAUCUUGGCAUGCACAUUCGAAUUUCAGAAUCAAGACUGUUGGCCAUAAAAAAUGACUAUAGCCUUGUGUAUUACCUGAACUGAGCAGUAAAAAAAAAGUCAUGGUCCUUCUGGGGCUUUUAUUCUGAGACAGGAACCCUGAACAGGCAGGAGAAAGGGAAUGUUGACAGAGAAACAAAGACAGUUGGCGACACACGCUGACCGCCAUGCGGACGUCCAUCAAACCCAGCACUGGCCCUGGGUACGUGCGCCUUUGCUAUUACCCCAAUACAUUUUCUUCUGCAGAGCAAGCAACAGAACACAUGCAGACCUUAAUAAAUACCACUGGGUAAUGUGACAAUGGCCAAACUCUCCUCACGGGGGAGAGAGUGUCCCCCAGUUUUGCUCCCUUUUAAUUUCCAGGGUUCAUAAGUAGCUCUAAAGCUUUGCUCUACAAGGUUGAUACAUACGAUAUUAAUGUUUCCCCUAAGCAGUAUAACAUAAAUAUAUUUGCUAUCUUGACAUUCUGGGUUUGGUUUUUCAGUGUUGGCGUAAGUGGGUUUUAUACUUUCUGGAACAAGAGUUCAUCACCAAAGGGAAAAUGCUGUCCACCCCACCCUCUUUGAAAGAAAAGGCUCAGCCCAUAGUUCUCCAGAUGAAAGAAAUGUACCUAAUCAGCUAUUUCCUGUUGCUUGAUUGGAUGUUAACAAUGGAGAUAGACACACAGCUAAUUGUGGUGGCACAGCAGGAAGCCUAAUUCACUUUGCUGUAGAAAUGCCCACACAGAGAAAGUGGGAGAUGGCUGCACAAGAGGCCCCAUAGGCAGGCAAAUGCUUACUGCAGUUUCUUUCCCAAACAUUUCCAAAUAGACCAAAUAAACAUGAAUUUGCUCACUGUAGUUUAUAUUCCAAAUAAAAAUGAAUUUCUGGCCAGGC
ensembl:lncRNA LINC01287 long intergenic non-protein coding RNA 1287